rnacentral:rRNA from 1 species
UGCAGUCGAGGGGUAUAGGUUUUCGGACCUAGAGACCGGCGCACGGGUGCGUAACGCGUAUGCAAUCUACCUUUUACAGAGGGAUAGCCCGGAGAAAUUUGGAUUAAUACCUCAUAGUAUUAUUGAAUGGCAUCAUUUAAUAAUUAAAGUCACAACGGUAAAAGAUGAGCAUGCGUCCCAUUAGCUUGUUGGUAAGGUAACGGCUUACCAAGGCAACGAUGGGUAGGGGUCCUGAGAGGGAGAUCCCCCACACUGGUACUGAGACACGGACCAGACUCCUACGGGAGGCAGCAGUGAGGAAUAUUGGUCAAUGGGCGCAAGCCUGAACCAGCCAUGCCGCGUGCAGGAUGAAGCAUCUAUGGUGUGUAAACUGCUUUUGUACGAGAAGAAACACUCCUACGUGUAGGAGCUUGACGGUAUCGUAAGAAUAAGGACCGGCUAACUCCGUGCCAGCAGCCGCGGUAAUACGGAGGGUCCAAGCGUUAUCCGGAAUCAUUGGGUUUAAAGGGUCCGUAAGCGGUUUUGUAAGUCAGUGGUGAAAGCCCAUCGCUCAACGGUGGAACGGCCAUUGAUACUGCAAGACUUGAAUUAUUGGGAAGUAACUAGAAUAUGUAGUGUAG